UAGGGUGGAGGGUUUUCAACAAGAUCUUGCCACACGGGAUGUAGGGAACCUGGUCUGGGUGGCCCUGACCUUGGCAGCUAUAGGCAAACAAAAAGUGCCCUCAGUAGGCCAGCCCACCCCGAAAGUGGGCCACUCAGACCGGCAGAAAGUGAUGAGUCUCGACCGGCGGAUGUCCAGGCUUAGGUUAUGGCCUCUCUCCCUUCUUCCAGCCCGGACAUCCUUGAAAUUAGCUAGAAGAAGGGAGAGAGGUGUACUCUGGUUCUGUCCCAUAGCCUGUAUAGGAAAAAAUAAAUGGGCCAAGUUAGUUUCUGUUCCAGAAGUGAGUUGGAUAUACCUGCAAGGGAGAAGAGACAAGUUAAAUCGCAAGCGCGGCGGCAAACAGAAAGUGCCUUGGAGAAGAGACCAGAUACAGAACGGGUGUCCGUAACCCAAACAGAGUUCUGAUGGGCCAAAAUAGUGCCCCAGACAGGAGCUAGAGGACGUCUCCUCCUGGUCCCGACUGACUUCCCUAUAGCGCGUCCGCCAGGGCUAGGUCAGUCACUGAUACAGAUCCCGCGCGGGAGAGCCAGAAACGAACAGACAACAGACACAGACACAGACACAGACACAGACAGAGCCGGCUUACUUACCGAUCGGUCUCAGAAAUGACCCGUUGACUUGGGGUCUGGUGGGUUUGGGGGGGGGGGCUUCCCGGCCAACGCACCAAAUGAAAUGCCCAGAGUCUAAGAGACCCCCAAAAACGAACCACCAGAGUCCAGAGUCAAAGCUAAGCAGCAAGGGUCAUUUAUUGCAGGUUCGAACCUGGACCUCUGCGCCCCCGUUGCCGGUGACGCCAAGAGGCCCUGAGAGAGGUUUUUACACCCCUUUUAUAGACAGGUACAAACAAGUCAUGGGGAAAUCAGGAAUUUUCCACAGUUACAGAGCUGCGAUUGGUUGGUGUUUAAAGUUGGACACUUAACAGUAUUCGAUUGGUUCCUGCCUUUAGGUCAGACCACAACCGGGGGUACGGGUAUCACAAUGAUUGAUCAGGAAUACACGGAUGUGCCAAGCAACAAUGAUUGAUCAGGAGUACACAGAUGUGCCAAGUAACAAUGGUUGAUCAAGAAUAUACGGAUGUGCCAGGCAAUAAUGAUUGAUCAGGAAUACAUGGGCGCGCCAAGCAAUUGUACAGAAGCGGAACAAGCUGGUUAAGCUUGGAAUUGGCAAUACACUCACAUGGUUCCAGGUUAAGAAGUUCUAGUGAAAUGUAUGUUCCCACUCCUAUUUCUCCACCUGGUUCACCUCUCCAGAGGUAUUGGAGAUAUAGCAAUGAACAAAGAUCUCUGUCAUGAGCUUACAAGGGCAAGACUAAAGGUAAAUAAAUAAAAUAUGGAAUAGACACCUAUAAGAACUAAGAAGAAAAACAAUAGAGCUAGGGAAGAAGAUGUGUGUGUGUGUGUGUGUGUGUGUGUGUGUGUGUGUGUGUGUGGCAAGAUAUCACUGUUCAAAGUAUUUUUCAAUGAUUCCAGUAUUUGGGUUAUUGGAGAUCUCUGGAUACCUGUUUGUUUGGGUCUGUCUUCUAUCACUUCUCACUCAUCCUCUAACUUCCUCAACUAGCUCACUAGCUUCCUUCUCUGGAUUCUAGGAGUAACCUACACUUUUAAGCCUUUAUUUCCAUCUCUUUUCCCAGGCUACUAUCCUUUUGUUUGGUUUGGCCUCUCUGCAGCCCUGCCAUCUUGGUCCCUGAUUAUUGCUGAUAUGCCUUACCUAGCCUCUGUAACAACUUUAAUCCAAGACUGAGCCCAUAAGAUCAAAGCUUGUUCAAAAUGAAGCUGAGUCUGGUGACCAAAUUAAUCUCUCUUUAUUAAGUGAAACUAAAAGAUUGCAGACAUUUCAACUAUAUAAAUAAAUAAAAGGGAAAGCAGGAAAAUCAAAGCCAAAAUCCAGGUCAGUUACUGAUACUCAAAAAUACCCUCAAGCUUUAAGUUUCUUUGUUGGGCCCAGCAUUACUCCCUAGGGUGAGUACCUUUUAAAUUCAACAAGGUGGCCUCAGGCCAAAGAUAUCCCAUUGAUUCAAUUAACUCCACUUUCUCAGCUCUGAUCUUUUAUUCCAACUUUUGUGUACUGUACUUUUUUCUCUGUUUAGGUCCUUACUCAAUCCCUGGUGUCUGAUAUAAUACUCUAACAUUUUAGAAAGAGCCUAUCUACAUUUCUUCUCUCUCUGGUUUACACUGGUUUCCAACAUCUGGAUUACUGUUUUUUGUUUGUUUUGUUUGUUUUUUUUCCAUCUAUUGCUUUGCUAUAACAUUCCUGUGAAUCAAAGUCCCUAGUCGUGAAUUCCUAUCCCUGAGAGGGCAAUGUGGCAUCAUCAUAUUCGCUGCUCUUCUCUAAUAAAAGCCUGUACAGUUCUGUUUUUCCAUUUGGGUUAUCUGUUGAGAGUCCAUUUUAUAGUGAUAUCAGGAUAUAUAGAAUGGUGCUAAAUUAAAAACAUUAAUGCAAGGAAGUAAGGAUGGUGUAGGAGUUGGAAAAAAUCCAACAGACUCAGAGAGUUAUGAUAAAGAAGGCUUCUUAAAAAUUUUAGUUAGUGUAAGUUUUGUUUCAAAUUUUCUGCAAGGGCAAAUGUCCCUUGUAAGUCAAUUCAAAGAAUUUUACUCCCAUUAGGAAUAUUUUAUAGGAAAAGAGAAUGGUUAUAUAAUCCUUAGACUAGCCAUGUUAAAAAAAAUCUAGUUCAAUAGAGAUCACUAGACUUUUCACUGGCAAUUGCCUGGGUGAGAAGAAUGGAGUUUCCUACAAGUCUUACUUUAUUAUUAUUAUUACUUACUUUAUUAUUUGUCAUUGUGUUUCUUUUUUUUAAGUUUUUUUUUCUUCUAAGUUUUUAUUUAAAUUCAAGUUAGUUAACAUAUAGUGUGGCAUCAACAAGUCUUAUUUUUAAAAGUAAAGAUACUAAAUAUAGGUUGAACAUUUAUGUGUACCAGGCACUUUACAUGUAUUAUCUCAUUUCGUCUAUACAACCACUAACAGAAUUAGAGUAACUCAUACAAAGCCAUACAGUGAGUGAUGGAACGGGUAUGAACCCAGGUAUUUCUGAGCCUGUGCUUUUGAGUGUUAUACCAUCUUCCCCCUAACCUUGCUUGCUCAUAAGAACAUAUUUAAAACUGCAGGUUUCCAGGCCUUUCUCUUAGACAUUUUGGUUCAUUGGGUCUGGAACAGAACCCUGGAAUCUCUAUUUUUACCAAGAUCCUUGUGUGAGUCUAGUAGGCAGAUGAAUUUAGGAUACCUUGCCCUUUUACUCUUUAAUGCUAAGUAAUAAAAAUAAACUUUUCUUCAUCUCUAAAUACCUAGUGCUUACAUAUUCAAAGAAAUGAAACCAAGCCAAGCACAUUAUCUUAUUUGUAAAGAGAGUCAAGUUUUUAUUAAGAAACGAAAAGCCACAUCGCUUCUCGGCCUUUUGGCUAAGAUCAAGUGUAGAAACAAAAAGCCACAUCUGGUUAUAAUGCUCCUUUCCUUAACAUGUAAACACGAUCAAGUGUUCAUCAUUCUUGAAAACUAGCUGCCAUCUUGUCUUUUUCUUGCCUUCCUUCUUGCCUUGUCAAGCUUCUUUGAACAGUCACCCAAAUUCAUGGUCUACAAUUCCUUAUUUUUCCUUUAUUCCUUAUCUCACAAUGGUUUGGUUUUUGCAUUAUGUUUCUAUAGAAACUGUGCUUAUCACCAAUAACUUCCUGGUUGGAUUCAUACCACGUCUUACCUAACCUAACCUGACUUUCCUAGAAAAAGUCUUAAUUCUAUAAAGUUUUUAUGAAAAUUGCUUACAUAUUUUAUCAGGAAUGCUCAUUUCUUCCAGAAAGAAGCUUUUGAUUAUAUCAACUAAAAAGUGCCAUCACAGACCAGGUUUGGAACAAUUUUUCUCUUAUAGUUGGCAGCUGAUUUUGAAAAGCAAGGGAUAAUAAAUAGUCCAAAAGAAAUGAUAAGCCAAUAGCCAAAAUGGACAUAUGAAAGGAAAGAGCAUGGUUAGAUGGAAUGGAGUCCAGAAGGAAGAAUGGAUAAUGGGCAGAAGGGACAAUGGGAGCUAUGGCUGAUCAAACUCUUCUGGCCCCAGGAGAAGGACAGAGGCUUGGUAUUUAUAACAUGGAUGGAAGGAAGAUAAGUCUUUGUAAUGAUUACCUAUUGACCUUAUUAUACAUUAUUAGGAAGUUACAGCUAAGAAAUUAUUUUAAUCUCAUUUCAUUUUACCUAUGCACACCUGGACAAAUUUGUAACAGAUUAACUCAUUCUUUCCUUUCUUUCUUCCUUCCCCUUCCUUCCUUCUUUCCUUCCAUUCUUUCCUCCUUU